rnacentral:lncRNA from 1 species
CAAGGAUCAAGUCUGUUUCAUUCACAGUGAUAUGUCCAGCAUCUAGCAUAGAGCUUGGCUUAUAGUAGACAUUCAAAUGCCUGUUAAAUUAAUGACUGAGUAAAUAAUUGAAUGAAUGAAACUUGAAAUACAUCUCAAGCAAAAACAUGGAGAGACUGCGGUGCCAUCUUGCCUUUGGGAAAAGUGCAGCUGCUCUAAACUACUCCUUUUUAGAUCCAUGCUUCCUCUCACCCCAUGUCCUCUGGAGUAGCCACAGGCUGAGGCAGUUUCUCUGACAAGUCCAGAAGGAAGUCUAGAAAGAAGAAGCUAUGCCAGGUGGUUAUACAGUGCUUUGAGAUCCUUUUCCUCUAGGGAACAAGUGGCUGCAUCAAUAUUCAGAGAUUUCAAGGUCAAAGAAAGCCAGCUUUGGGAAUGGAAAUGCCUGUCAGCCUUGCCUUGCUUUUUUUGCACUUUGAGACGUGAUUUCUUCUCUUCAUGAAGAUGGUCUUCAAAGGUCAUUUUGCCCGCGCUUCUCCUGGCUAAAUCAUUUAUGAAGAAGCAUAUUGUUGUUUGCCAUAGGAAUCUAACUUCCAAAUAACAGUUCUAGUCCCAUAGACCUCAAGGGACAAUUGAUGUCAUCACGUGUUUCUCUUCCACUUUUCUGCUCUUAAGAUCCAACAUUUUCCUAUGAGCCCCUGCCAUCCUAUGCUCUCUGUUUUCCUUUGUGAGCGGCAAGGACACUUCCUCCAGUUUUCAGGGGCAUCAAUUAUCUGUGCAGGAUCCACCUUUCUCAUGAGGAGCAUGCACUUUUGGCUCUUUCCUGAUCUCUUUGGAGUAGGUAUGCAUUGAGGAUGCUCUGCAAGAUGCCAAGCCCCUUUCAAACACUAUCUGUGUGAGACACAGUAUUGAACUAUCUUAAGUGAGCCAUCCAUAUACUAUUUCAUUUUUUACAAUCAUCUUAAAGGAAUGGGUUUUUAUUGCCCGAACAAAUAAUUUGUAUGACGGUAGUGAUGAUGAUAAUUAUAUUUAUUAUUCAUUGCUUGAGUGUAUGCCAUUAUGGAAGACAAUAUCUUGUGCUUGACAGAGAAAAACAAUUGAUACAUUCAUUAAUUAGGAUCCUGCUUAACCUUCUGUUAUAAAGGAUGAUAAAUUGUUUUAGGCAGAAUGUUGUGUUUUGAUAGAAGCAUAGUGGGACAAUAAAAAUAUGACUGGAUAUUUGUGUUUAUUUUUAUUUUACAUUUUUAAAUUUGCUUUAUGAUUAGGUAAUCUAGUAAGAUAGUUCAAAAAUGAAACAACAUUGGGAAAACAUAUUGGAGGCUCACCAUUAUCCUGA